rnacentral:rRNA from 1 species
UACGGGGGGGGGCAAGCGUUUGUUCGGAAUUACUGGGCGUAAAGGGCUCGUAGGCGGCCAACUAAGUCAGACGUGAAAUCCCUCGGCUUAACCGGGGAACUGCAUCUGAUACUGGAUGGCUUGAGUUCGGGAGAGGGAUGUGGAAUUCCAGGUGUAGCGGUGAAAUGCGCAGAUAUCAGGAGGAACACCGAUGGCGAAGGCAGGUCUCUGGGCCGUAACUGACGCUGAGGAGCGAAAGCGUGGGGAGCGAACAGG